UCCCUGGUGGUCCAGUGGUUAAAACUCUGCUCUUCUAAUGCAGGGAGCCUGGGUUUGAUCCCCAGUCAGGGAA